rnacentral:rRNA from 1 species
ACGGAAGGCAGCAGUGGGGAAUAUUGCACAAUGGGGGAAACCCUGAUGCAGCGACGCCGCGUGAAGGAUGAAGUAUUUCGGUAUGUAAACUUCUAUCAGCAGGGAAGAAAAUGACGGUACCUGACUAAGAAGCCCCGGCUAACUACGUGCCAGCAGCCGCGGUAAUACGUAGGGGGCAAGCGUUAUCCGGAUUUACUGGGUGUAAAGGGAGCGUAGACGGUAUGGCAAGUCUGAAGUGAAAGCCCGGGGCUCAACCCCGGGACUGCUUUGGAAACUGUUAAACUAGAGUGUCGGAGAGGCAAGUGGAAUUCCUAGUGUAGCGGUGAAAUGCGUAGAUAUUAGGAGGAACACCAGUGGCGAAGGCGGCUUACUGGACUGUAACUGACGUUGAGGCUCGAAGGCGUGGGGAGCAAACAGGAUUAGAUACCCUGGUA